rnacentral:rRNA from 2 species
GGAUGCGAUCAUACCAGCACUAAAGCACCGGAUUCCAUCAGAACUCCGAAGUUAAGCGUGCUUGGGCGAGAGUACUACUAGGAUGGGUGACCUCCUGGGAAGUCCUCGUGUUGCAUUCC